UUUCUAACCACACAGCAGCAAGAUGAUCUCAGCCACUCCCCUGGCCUGGUUGCUGCUUUUCUGGAUUCAGGGUUGCAGUGCACAGACUGUGAUGACACAGACUCCGGAAUCUCUCUCAGUGUCUGUGGGAGACACCGUCACUAUCAAAUGCAAAGCCAGCGCAAGCAUUAGCAACAAUAUUAAUUGGUUCCAACAGAAGCCUGGACAGGCUCCCAAACUCCUUAUCUAUUAUACCAGCAACCGAUACACGGGUGUCCCAGACCGGUUCAGUGGCAGUGGGUCGGGCACUGACUACACUUUCACCAUCAGCAGAGUGGAAGCGGAUGAUGCUGGGGAUUAUUACUGCCUGCAGUAUAACAACUUCCCUCUCACAGUGAUACAGCCCAAUACAAAAACCUCCAUCUGA